AUUGAACGCUGGCGGCAGGCCUAACACAUGCAAGUCGGGCGAGAGGCGGACGGGUGAGUAAUGUAUGGGGAUCUGACUGAUGGAGGGGGAUAACUACCGGAAACGGUUACUAAUACCGCAUUCAAUAAGAUGAACCCAUGUGGGAUUAGCUUGUUGGUAAGGUAACGGCUUACCACGGCUACGAUCCCUAACUGGUCUGAGAGGAUGAUCAGCCACACUGGAACUGAGACACGGUCCAGACUCCUACGGGAGGCAGCAGUGGGGAAUAUUGCACAAUGGGCGAAAGCCUGAUGCAGCCAUGCCGCGUGUAUGAAGAAGGCCUUCGGGUUGUAAAGUACUUUCAGUCGGGAGGCGUUACCGACAGAAGAAGCACCGGCUAACUCCGUGCCAGCAGCCGCGGUAAUAC
rnacentral:rRNA from 1 species